GACAGAGGGUGCAAACGUUGUUCGGAAUUACUGGGCGUAAAGCGCGUGUAGGCGGUCUUAAAAGUCAGGUGUGAAAGCCCCGGGCUCAACCCGGGAAGUGCACUUGAAACUGCAAGGCUAGAGUACUGGAGAGGUUGGUGGAAUUCUCGGUGUAGAGGUGAAAUUCGUAGAUAUCGAGAGGAACACCGGUGGCGAAGGCGGCCAACUGGACAGAUACUGACGCUGAGACUCGAAAGCGUGGGGAGCAAACAGG
rnacentral:rRNA from 1 species